rnacentral:misc_RNA from 1 species
GAUGAAGAACGUAGCGAAAUGCGAUACGUAAUAUGAAUUGCAGAUAUUCGUGAAUCAUCGAAUCUUUGAACGCACAUUGCGCCCUUUGGUAUUCCAAAGGGCAUGCCUGUUUGAGCGUCAUUUCUCCCUCAAACCCCCGGGUUUGGUGUUGAGCAAUACGCUAGGUUUGUUUGAAAGAAUUUAACGUGGAAACUUAUUUUAAGCGACUUAGGUUUAUCCAAAAACGCUUAUUUUGCUAGUGGCCACCACAAUUUAUUUCAUAACUUUGACCUCAAAUCAGGUAGGACUACCCGCUGAACUUAAGCAUAUCAAUAAGCGGAGGA